rnacentral:misc_RNA from 1 species
UUUUUGACUUNNUNUGCAUGGCAGGCUCCCCGCACUUAUGUGCGGCCAACUGUCAUGGGGCGGUCUGUUCACUWAUCCUUUGAUUGGCAUUAUUGCUGUCUUGGGAUGCUUGCUGCUGGUUGCCUGUAUGGUUCUACCAUUUGAGGUAUUACGAUUGUCAAGCUCGUGUAUGCUAAGCUUGCUCAAUUGAUGUUGUUUCUGDGGNNNCGCAUGAGUUGUUAGCAAAUUUCUUGUGUUUCCAUGCGUUUGUCCCUUGGAGUNGCAUUUAGAUUUUUGUUGGUUUUCACGGAUAUUGUGCCUGUUUUGAGGUUUGCGGGCUUCGAGCUUUGUAGACCUUGUUGGGUUGCCCGUGCACAUAUCAUAGCCUCUAAUACAGUCUUUGAUUAUGUGCUUGUGGCGUGCCUACGUGACCGAGUGACUUGCGAAUGCCAGUUUUUGUUGUMAUAUGG